rnacentral:rRNA from 1 species
CCUACGGGAGGCAGCAGUGAGGAAUAUUGGUCAAUGGUCGGAAGACUGAACCAGCCAUGCCGCGUGCAGGAAGAAUGCCUUAUGGGUUGUAAACUGCUUUUAUAUGGGAAGAAUAAGGUGUACGUGUACAUUGAUGACGGUACCAUAUGAAUAAGCAUCGGCUAACUCCGUGCCAGCAGCCGCGGUAAUACGGAGGAUGCGAGCGUUAUUCGGAAUCAUUGGGUUUAAAGGGUCUGUAGGCGGGCUAUUAAGUCAGAGGUGAAAGGUUUCUGCUUAACUGAGAAAUUGCCUUUGAUACUGGUAGUCUUGAAUAUCUGUGAAGUUCUUGGAAUGUGUAGUGUAGCGGUGAAAUGCUUAGAUAUUACACAGAACACCGAUUGCGAAGGCAGGGGACUAACAGACAAUUGACGCUGAGAGACGAAAGCGUGGGGAGCGAACAGGAUUAGAUACCCGGGUAGUC